UACGUAGGGGCUAGCGUUAUCCGGAUUUACUGGGCGUAAAGGGCUCGUAGGUGGUUUGUCACGUCGUCUGUGAAAUUCCGGGGCUUAACCUCGGGCGUGCAGGCGAUACGGGCAAUACUUGAGUGCUGUAGGGGAGACUGGAAUUCCUGGUGUAGCGGUGAAAUGCGCAGAUAUCAGGAGGAACACCAAUGGCGAAGGCAGGUCUCUGGGCAGUUACUGACGCUGAGGAGCGAAAGCAUGGGUAGCGAACAGGAUUAGAUACCCGGGUAGU
rnacentral:rRNA from 1 species